GACGAACGCUGGCGGCGCGCCUAACACAUGCAAGUCGAACGGAGAAGUUAGCAAUAACUUUUUAGUGGCGAACGGGUGAGUAACGCGUAGACAACCAACCUUACAGCGGGGGACAACACUUCGAAAGGAGUGCUAAUACCGCAUACGCUCCUGUGUUCGCAUGGAUGGAGGAGGAAAGGAGCCGCAAGGCUUCACUGUAAGACGGGUCUGCGUCUGAUUAGCUAGUUGGCGGGGUAACGGCCCACCAAGGCGACGAUCAGUAGCCGGUCUGAGAGGAUGAACGGCCACACGGGGACUGAGACACGGCCAAGACUCCUACGGGAGGCAGCAGGGGGGAAUCUUCCGCAAUGGACGAAAGUCUGACGGAGCGACGCCGCGUGAGUGAUGAAGGCACUUGGGUCGUAAAGCUCUGUCAUUGGGGACGAACGACCGCAUCAGGAAAUGGGUGCGGAGUGACGGUACCCAAGAAGGAAGCCACGGCUAACUACGUGCCAGCAGCCGCAGUAAAA
rnacentral:rRNA from 1 species